GCAGGGGCGCUCGAGGGAGAGCACGAAGAGGUGCUCGGAGCGCAGGGGCGCUCGACAGCGUACUCCAGUAUGUCUUCGUCGCUGGAGAGGAUGCUCUGAGUGCCUAGUUUGCUUGUCUCUGCCUCUGAGACAAGCCAUCGUGGAGUGGACGCAUAAAACCUUGAAGGCGUGGCUCCGAGCCUUAAAAGAGGGGGGAGAGCUGACUGGUCCAGAACUGUGUCCCCAUGACUUGAUUCUUCAAUUCAUCGGGACUACAUGAACACCUCCUUCCUCUUGGCUGGUGUCCGUCGUCUCCGCAAGUCUACGGAUACUACUUCUUGUCAGAAAAGGACUGCUCUUACUAUCUACUAUAUUUCGGCUGCUGCAACGGCUCAUCGAGAACAUCGUUUCAAAAACAGUACAGGUUGACAUGCUGAUAUCUAAUUAUCAGUGCUUAUGUCAAGAUCUGCUUGAAGAAGGGCCAAAAAAGGGAGUUUUGAUGGGGUAACAGGGCUGAGCAGGGUACACUACAGGGAUGUUUCAUGUUUGUAUAUAAAGAGGGGGGAGAUGCGGGAUUAAAUGGGAUGGGUGGUGCCUGCGAGCACCUGGGAGGAGCAAGGGGGGUCACGGGUAUAUGGGGCGGUCGGGUGUACGGGUAUAAGUAGCCUUGUUGCACAGCAUUAAAUGGGCAUUUCGGCGCUACAUACCAUGUAUGUGUCCCGUAUGCCCCUGCACGCGGAGGUGCGGACGGAAGGGAAGCCUUAGUACGUUGUCGUAGACAACAAAUAUAAUCAAUCCACUAA